rnacentral:rRNA from 1 species
GACAGAGGUCUCGAGCGUUAGGCGGAAUCACUGGGCUUAAAGCGUGUGUAGGUGGAUGCCUAAGUACCUUGUGAAAUCCCACGGCUUAACCGUGGAAUUGCUUGGUAUACUGGGUGUCUUGAGCCAGCUAGGGGCAACCGGAACAAAUGGUGGAGCGGUGAAAUGCGUAGAUAUCAUUUGGAACGCCAAUGGUGAAAACAGGUUGCUGGGGCUGUGCUGACACUGAGACACGAAAGCCAGGGGAGCAAACGGG